rnacentral:misc_RNA from 1 species
UGUUCGAGCGUCAUUACAACCCUCAAGCUCUGCUUGGCCUUGGGCGUCACCGGCAACGGUGGGCCUCAAACUCAGUGGCGGUGCAUCUGGCUCUAAGCGUAGUAAUUCUUCUCGCUAUGGGUGCCCGGUGGAUGCUUGCCAGCAACCCCCAACUUCUUAAGGUUGACCUCGGAUCAGGUAGGGAUACCCGCUGAACUUAA